UUGACCUCAAAUCGGGUGAGACUACCCGCUGAACUUAAGCAUAUCAAUAAGCGGAGGAAAAGAAACUAACAAGGAUUCCCCUAGUAACUGCGAGUGAAGCGGGAAAAGCUCAAAUUUAAAAUCUGGUGGCUUUGGUCAUCCGAGUUGUAAUUUAGAGAAGCGUCUUCCGCGCUGGACCGUGCACAAGUCUCCUGGAAUGGAGCGUCAUAGAGGGUGAGAAUCCCGUCUUUGGCACGGACGCACCAGGGCUUCUGUGAUGCGCUCUCGAAGAGUCGAGUUGUUUGGGAAUGCAGCUCAAAAUGGGUGGUGAACUCCAUCUAAAGCUAAAUAUUGGCGAGAGACCGAUAGCGAACAAGUACCGUGAGGGAAAGAUGAAAAGCACUUUGGAAAGAGAGUGAAACAGUACGUGAAAUUGUUGAAAGGGAAACGCUUGAAGUCAGUCGCGUCGACCGAGACUCAGCCUUGCCUCGGCUUGGUGUACUUCUCGGCCGACGGGUCAGCAUCAAUUUUGCCCCUCGGAUAAUGGCAAGGGAAAUGUGGCACCUUUGCGGGUGUGUUAUAGUCCUUUGUCGCAUGCGAGGGUUGGGAUUGAGGAACUCAGCACGCGCCUUUCGGCGUCGGGGCUCUGCCCACGAUACGUGCUUAGGAUGUUGGCGUAAUGGCUUUAAACGACCCGUC
rnacentral:rRNA from 2 species